UGGGGAAUAUUGCACAAUGGGCGCAAGCCUGAUGCAGCAACGCCGCGUGAACGAUGAAGGUCUUCGGAUCGUAAAGUUCUGUUGCAGGGGAAGAUAAUGACGGUACCCUGUGAGGAAGCCCCGGCUAACUACGUGCCAGCAGCCGCGGUAAUACGUAGGGGGCUAGCGUUAUCCGGAUUUACUGGGCGUAAAGGGUGCGUAGGUGGUCCUUCAAGUCGGUGGUUAAAGGCUACGGCUCAACCGUAGUAAGCCGCCGAAACUGGAGGACGUAAGUGCAGGAGAGGAAAGUGGAAUUCCAAGUGUAGCGGUGAAAUGCGUAGAUAUUGGGAGGAACACCAGUAGCGAAGGCGGCUUUCUGGACUGCAACUGACACUGAGGCACGAAAGCGUGGGUAGCAAACAGG
rnacentral:rRNA from 1 species